GGUGGCUCAGUGGUGGAGCAUUUGCCUUGCAUGCAUGAGGCCCUGGGUUCGAUUCCUUAGCACCA
rnacentral:tRNA from 1 species